AAUAGAUACCCCAGGUAGUCCACGCCGUAAACGGUGAGAACUAGAUGUCGGGGGGGAUUAGCCCCUCGGUGUCGCAGCUAACGCGUUAAGUUCUCCGCCUGGGGAGUACGCCGGCAACGGUAAAACUCAAAGGAAUUGACGGGGACCCGCACAAGCGGUGGAGCAUGUGGUUUAAUUCGAUGCAACGCGAAGAACCUUACCUGCCCUUGACAUUGAUGGAAUCCUGCAGCGAUGCGGGAGUGCCUCCGGGCCCUGAAACAGGUGCUGCAUGGCUGUCGUCAGCUCGUGUCGUGAGAUGUUGGGUUAAGUCCCGCAACGAGCGCAACCCUUGUCCCUAGUUGCCAUCAUUCAGUUGGGAACUCUAGGGAGACCGCCGGUGACAAACCGGGAGGAAGGUGGGGACGACGUCAAGUCAUCAUGGCCCUUAUGGGCAGGGCUACACACGUGCUACAAUGGCCGGUACAGAGGGCUGCCAACCCGGCGAGGGGGAGCCAAUCCCAGAAAGCCGGUCGUAGUCCGGAUCGGAGUCUGCAACUCGACU
rnacentral:rRNA from 1 species